CUACGUGCCAGCAGCCGCGGUAAUACGUAGGGCGCGAGCGUUGUCCGGAAUUAUUGGGCGUAAAGAGCUUGUAGGCGGUUUGUCGCGUCUGCUGUGAAAGGCCGGAGCUUAACUCCGUGUAUUGCAGUGGGUACGGGCAGACUAGAGUGCAGUAGGGGAGACUGGAAUUCCUGGUGUAGCGGUGGAAUGCGCAGAUAUCAGGAGGAACACCGAUGGCGAAGGCAGGUCUCUGGGCUGUAACUGACGCUGAGAAGCGAAAGCAUGGGGAGCGAACAGGAUUAGAUACCCUGGUAGUCCAUGCCGUAAACGUUGGGCACUAGGUGUGGGGGACAUUCCACGUUUUCCGCGCCGUAGCUAACGCAUUAAGUGCCCCGCCUGGGGAGUACGGCCGCAAGGCUAAAACUCAAAGAAAUUGACGGGGGCCCGCMCAAGCGGCGGAGCAUGCGGAUUAAUUCGAUGCAACGCGAAGAMCCUUACCAAGGCUUGACAU
rnacentral:rRNA from 1 species